GGCCACAGUUGUGGCUAUAGGGUUCAGUUAUCUAAAGCCCCGAUUUAUCGGGGUUUUUUG
rfam:Microbacterium sp. STBG005 Ion018_assembly_c882, whole genome shotgun sequence.